rnacentral:lncRNA from 1 species
CUCUGUUAUUUAGUUGAGCCUUUUAAUAAGAAUUUUCGAAUGUCUCAAGAACUUUAAGUGGCUCCAUUAGUUACCUAUUUCUUUCAAAGUGAGUAUGUUCAUUAUCUAACCAAAGAAACAUCGAUAAAAAUACAAUUAUAUUGUUGAGAAUAUCCAACAGUGUCAGCAAUGGCAAUUGAUAUCUAAGUGUGACUUUUUUCUUUUCUUUUUUUUUACCCUUCUAGUGGUUCCUUAACACUCUGAUGUUUUUAUUCAAGUUUAAUUUGUCCUAAUUGUCUAUUCGCUUUUUUAGGUCUAUGGUUGUUUGCAGUUUGGUGGUCUCGUACUUUUUGGUUGAUGAUGUUUUUGUAG